UACAGAGGGGGCAAGCGUUUGUUCGGAAUUACUGGGCGUAAAGGGCGCGUAGGCGGCCAACUAAGUCAGACGUGAAAUCCCCAGGCUCAACCUGGGAACUGCGUCUGAUACUGGAUGGCUUGAGUUUGGGAGAGGGACGCGGAAUUCCAGGUGUAGCGGUGAAAUGCGUAGAUAUCGAGAGGAACACCUGCGGCGAAGGCGGGUUGCUGGGCUGACACUGACGCUGAUGCGCGAAAGCUAGGGGAGCGAACGGG
rnacentral:rRNA from 1 species